rnacentral:rRNA from 1 species
AAUGWAAGUGAAGGAAACUUUGUUUUCGAGGGAGGAUGGGUUAGGUCCCUCUCAUGGGYYGGCCUCGCACUCCCGGGGCGUCUCUAUCUCAUCACGAGAGGAGGCGCACCUAGAGCGUACACGCUGAUACCCGAAAGAUGGUGAACUAUGCCUGGCCAGGACGAAGCCAGGGGAAACCCUGGUGGAGGUCCGCAGCGAUUCUGACGUGCAAAUCGAUCGUCGGAGCUGGGUUUAGGGGCGAAAGACCAAUCGAACCAUCUAGUAGCUGGUUCCCUCUGAAGUUUCCCUCAGGAUAGCUUGCGCUCGAACGAAACGAGUCUCAUCCGGUAGAGCGAAUGAUUUAGAGGCCUUGGGGUCGAAACGACCUCAACCUAUUCUCAAACUCCAAAUAGAUGAGAACCCCGGCUUUCUUGAAAUAUUU